rnacentral:rRNA from 1 species
GAUGAACGCUAGCGGCGGGCCUAAUACAUGCAAGUCGAACGGUGUCUUCGGACAUAGUGGCGCACGGGUGCGUAACACGUAUGCCACCUACCUUACAUUGGGGGAUAGCCUUUCGAAAGGGAGAUUAAUACCGCAUAAGACAGUAGCUGGGCAUCCAGCAGCUGUUAAAGAUUUAUCGAUUUAAGCUGGUCAUGCGUCCAAUUAGCUAGUUGGUGAUGUAACGGCUCACCAAGGCAAUGAUUGGUAGGGGAACUGAGAGGUCAAUCCCCCACACUGGAACUGAGAUACGGGCCAGACGCGUGCGGGAGGCAGCAGUAGGGAAUAUUGGGCAAUGGACGCAAGUCUGACCCAGCCAUGCCGCGUGCAGGAUGAAGGCGUUAUGCGUUGUAAACUGCUUUUAUACAGGAAGAAACGACUCUUGCGAGAGGCAUUGACGGUACUGUAUGAAUAAGCACCGGCUAACUCCGUGCCAGCCGCCGCCGUAACAC